AGUGCCUUUCUGGUUUCAGUGGUAGAUAGACAAAUCACGUGUCAGCUCUAGUGAAGACUACUGCCUGGUCUGAUAGCAGCAGUAGAACCCUGAGGUAAGGACUUAUCUGAUCUGCCAUAAGCCAAUCAUGGGUUCGAGGUUCCUAAGCUGUGUGGCCUUCUGCCUCUUAGGAGUAGGUCCCCUGGAGACGGCUGUUUUUCAGACUCCAAAACAUCUUGUCACACAGGUGGGAAAUAACGCGUUUCUCCAGUGUGAACAAAAGCUGGGCCAUGAUGCUAUGUACUGGUACAAGCAAGACUCUAAGCAAUUGCUGAAGAUCAUGUUUAUCUACAAUAAUAAGCAACUCAUUUUAAAUGAAUCAGUUCCGAGUCGCUUCUCACCCCAGUCUCCAGAUAAAGCUCUUUUGAAUCUUCAUGUCAAGUCUUUAGAACUGGAUGACACUGCUGUGUACUUUUGUGCCAGCAGCUAUGGCACAGCCAUGCAGAGCCACUGCUUCCCCGUGCACAAACCCAGCCAGCCAGGAAGCAGUGGGCCUUGA